GAAGAUGACGAGGAUGAAGAGGACGAUUUUUGCUUCUUCUUCUUGUCCUUUUUCUUCUUGUCCUUCUUUUCCUUCUUCUUCUUGUCCUUCUUAUUC
rnacentral:ribozyme from 11 species